rnacentral:rRNA from 1 species
CACGUACUGUGCGAACGUUAUUCGGAAUCACUGGGCUUAAAGGGUGCGUAGGCGGCGAUACAAGUCAGGUGUGAAAUGCCGGAGCUCAACUGCGGCAUUGCGCUUGAAACUGUGUUGCUUGAGUAUUUCAGGGGUGUGGGGAACUGCCAGUGGAGCGGUGAAAUGUGUUGAUAUUGGCAGGAACACCGGAGGCGAAAGCGCCACACUGGGGAAUAACUGACGCUGAGGCACGAAAGCCAGGGGAGCGAACGGGAUUAGAUACCCCGGUAGUCCUGGCUGUAAACGAUGAGUACUGAGCGGAAGGGAGUUUACUCCUUUCUGCUGUAGUGAAAACGUUAAGUACUCCGCCUGGGGAGUAUGGUCGCAAGGCUG